AUGAGUAAACGAUAACAGAAUUUUCAUUUUAAGGUGAAUUAUCCCUUUAAUCACGUCAUCCUCCAGGAAGUGACAUCAUAAUCGGAGGGAAUUCAAUAACACAAACGUCAAGCGCAAAAGUCUCUACCUGGCAUAAACAGUGCUGACUCAAGAUAUGUGGAUUCAUUUAUUUCUUUAUUUACUGUAAGUGCAGGUGGAAGCAAUGCAAAUGGCUCAGCACAUUGAACUGUGCUUCAGUUGAUAUGAUCUCAUAUUUACUUACUGAUAUUAGCUGAAGAGAUUGUAGAGUCGGUGAAAUGCAAUGCACAUAUGCAUCGAUUGCUUUUACAAUGCCAGCAGUAUGCAUAUAAGACCAAGUCUAAAGAAAGACAAUUCACUCGGCUCUGAUAUGCUUUCUGAUUGUCAGGUUUUAUUUGUUUAUAAUAUUUAUUCAUAGUAUUGUACUUACCCUGGCUCAUUAUGAAUGUAAAGCAUGUGGAAAUAUGAAAUGCAUCAAAAAGCUCAUGAGCCGCUAAGAUUUUGGCAUUCUCUGAGACUCACACAAGAGAAAAAUAAUUGGAAAAUUAACCAAAUUGCUUAUGAUAUGUGAUGUGUUUUAACUUUUAAGUGAGUCACCUUGCUUGACAGUGCCUUUCCUCCUAAGAAAUGCUUUUGUGUAGAUGUUGUUUUACGUUUGUGGGACAUUAUGGUUUCGAAAUACACAUUUAUCAAUACUGUUAUCAUCAUAGGAGUGUGUUAAAUGGAUAGUUAACCCAUUCUGUCAUCAUUUUCUAAACUUGUAUGAGUUUUUUAUUUUGUUGAACACAAAAGAAGAU